GCUGUUCUUCUUCGCCAAGACUGCGCGUGCUCUUAGUUGAGUGUGCGCAGGAUUCGCGACGUUUACUUUGAAAAAAUUAGAGUGUUCAAAGCAGGCUCGUGCUUGCAUACAUAAGCAUGGAAUAAUGGAAUAGGACUUUGGUUCUAUUUUGUUGGUUUCUCGAACCGAAGUAAUGAUGAAUAGGGACAGUUGGGGGCAUUCGUAUUUCGUUGUCAGAGGUGAAAUUCUUGGAUUUACGAAAGACGAACUAAUGCGAAAGCAUUUGCCAAGCCAGUUUUCAUUAAUCAAGAACGAAAGUUAGAGGAUCGAAGACGAUCAGAUACCGUCCUAGUUCUAACCAUAAACGAUGCCGACUAGGGAUCGGCGGGUGUUAUUGUAUGACCCCGUCGGCACCUUAUGGGAAACCAAAGUUUUUGGGUUCCGGGGGAAGUAUGGUUGCAAAGCUGAAACUUAAAGGAAUUGACGGAAGGGCACCACCAGGAGUGGAGCCUGCGGCUUAAUUUGACUCAACACGGGAAAACUCACCAGGUCCGGACAUAGUAAGGAUUGACAGAUUGAGAG
rnacentral:rRNA from 1 species